rnacentral:misc_RNA from 1 species
GAUGAAGAACGUAGCGAAAUGCGAUACGUAAUGUGAAUUGCAGAAUUCAGUGAAUCAUCGAAUCUUUGAACGCAUAUUGCGCUCUCUGGUAUUCCGGAGAGCAUGCUUGUUUGAGUAUCAGUAAACACCUCAACUUCCAUAUCUUUUUUGAAAUGGGAGUUGGACUUGAGUGAUCCCAACGCUUUUCCUCACCGAAAAGUGGCGGGUUACUUGAAAUGCAGGUGCAGCUGGACUUUCUCUGAGCUAUAAGCAUAUCUAUUUAGUCUGCCUAAAAAACAGAUUAUUACCUUUGCUGCAGCUAACAUAAAGGAGAUUAGUUCUUGUGCUGACUGAUGCAGGAUUCACAAAGACAGGCUUCGGCCGACUUUGUAAACUCGAUCUCAAAUCAAGUAAGACUACCCGCUGAACUUAAGCAUAUCAAUAAGCGGAGGA